GCUCAACCGGGGAGGGUCAUUGGAAACUGGGGAACUUGAGUGCAGAAGAGGAGAGUGGAAUUCCACGUGUAGCGGUGAAAUGCGUAGAGAUGUGGAGGAACACCAGUGGCGAAGGCGACUCUCUGGUCUGUAACUGACGCUGAGGCGCGAAAGCGUGGGGAGCGAACAGGAUUAGAUACCCUGGUAGUCCACGCCGUAAACGAUGAGUGCUAAGUGUUAGAGGGUUUCCGCCCUUUAGUGCUGCAGCAAACGCAUUAAGCACUCCGCCUGGGGAGUACGGUCGCAAGACUGAAACUCAAAGGAAUUGACGGGGGCCCGCACAAGCGGUGGAGCAUGUGGCUUAAUUCGAAGCAACGCGAAGAACCUUACCAGGUCUUGACAUCCUCUGACAACCCUAGAGAUAGGGCUUCCCCUUCGGGGGCAGGGUGACAGGUGGUGCAUGGUUGUCGUCAGCUCGUGUCGUGAGAUGUUGGGUUAAGUCCCGCAACGAGCGCAACCCUUGAUCUUAGUUGCCAGCAUUCAGUUGGGCACUCUAAGGUGACUGCCGGUGACAAACCGGAGGAAGGUGGGGAUGACGUCAAAUCAUCAUGCCCCUUAUGACCUGGGCUACACACGUGCUACAAUGGGCAGAACAAAG
rnacentral:rRNA from 1 species